AUCAUCUGACCCUUUCCAGGCUGAGAACAAACCACUAGUUGUCCUGGUGGAGUUUCCCAAGCAGGGGGAGGAGUCCUUCGGGGGAUAAAUAAGCAUCAGCCCUCGUGGACAGCCCGUGGACUCCAGGCGCCACUCUGCGAUCCACCAGCUACAGCCGCUGCCUGAGGCAGGUAACCCGUGACGCUUCACGCAGGGAGCAGACGGACCCGUUUUCCCAGGAGAGUUCUAGGCUGUGUGGGGCAGGACGGGCCAGGAGCAGAAGUGGUCCACAACAAACAGAACUCCUGCAGGGGCGAUUACUGAGAGAACGGGUAGGACUGAUCGUUAUCCAUCACUGGGGAAACAGUGGGAAUAGAGUGGAGAGUGCAGAAAAUGUUACCCCUCCUGGCUCUGGGGCUCUUGGUGGCCGGGGUCUGCCCUGCUGUCCUCUGCCACCCAGGCG